GAAGGCUGCAAGAAUCGUCUGGUAACUUUUUGUCCCAGGCCGAUUCGGUGAUACAAUUUUCUCAAGCAAGUCCUAGUGCGUCUUCGUAUAAUGAUUAAUUUUCGUACUUGUGAACGAGAUCGAGCAAAGAAGAAGUGAAAAAUGAGCAUCGACUUCGCCGAGAAUCGAACCAUGGACCUCUGGAAUACACGCCCAGCGUGCAGACCAGCACACUACGAAGGCAUGCCAAGAAGGCGGGAGAAAUACCUUAUACAUUUACUAAAAACGUUCAUGAAGAUAAAUAUUGAAAGAAAUCCACAUUAUAUUUUAUUAUUAGGUAGAAGAAAAGCACAGGUUUGCGUAUAUAAUUCUACUUGACAGAAAAUCCUGUACAUGAUGCAAGACUGAAGUUUUACGGUAUAGUUGUUUUAUAAAUAAACUUCUAUUAUUUCAAUUCA